rnacentral:rRNA from 1 species
UACGUAGGGUGCAAGCGUUAAUCGGAAUUACUGGGCGUAAAGCGUGCGCAGGCGGUUGUGCAAGACCGAUGGGAAAUCCCCGGGCUUAACCUGGGAAUGGCAUUGGUGACUGCACGGCUAGAGUGUGUCAGAGGGGGGUAGAAUUCCACGUGUAGCAGUGAAAUGCGUAGAGAUGUGGAGGAAUACCGAUGGCGAAGGCAGCCCCCUGGGAUAACACUGACGCUCAUGCACGAAAGCGUGGGGAGCAAACAGG